rnacentral:rRNA from 1 species
GAGAGGCCGGCGGUAUUCCCGGGGUAGGGGUAAAAUCCUGUAAUCCCGGGAGGACCACCAGUGGCGAAGGCGGCCGGCCAGAACGCGCCCGACGGUGAGGGACGAAAGCUGGGGGAGCGAUCCGGAUUAGAUACCCGGGUAGUCCCAGCUGUAAACGAUGCGGGCUAGGUGUUGGCGCGGCUACGAGCCGCGCCAGUGCCGCAGGGAAACCGUUAAGCCCGCCGCCUGGGGAGUACGGUCGCAAGACUGAAACUUAAAGGAAUUGGCGGGGGAGCACCACAAGGGGUGAAGCUUGCGGUUCAAUUGGAGUCAACACCGGGAACCUUACCGGGGGAGACAGCAGGAUGAAGGCCAGAUUGAAGGUCUUGCCAGACAAGCUGAGAGGAGGUGCAUGGCCGUCGCCAGCUCGUGCCGUGAGGUGUCCUGUUAAGUCAGGCAACGAGCGAGACCCGCGCCCCUUGUUGCCAGCGGCCUCCAAGAUGAGGCCGGGCACACGAGGGGGACCGCCGCCGCUAAGGCGGAGGAAGGAGCGGGCUACGGCAGGUCAGUAUGCCCCGAAUCCCCCGGGCCACACGCGAGCUGCAAUGGCGGGGACAAUGGGUUCCGACCCCGAAAGGGGGAGGUAAUCCCUAAACCCCGCCUCAGUUGGGAUCGAGGGCUGCAACUCGCCCUCGUGAACAUGGAAUCCCUAGUAAUCGCGCGUCAUCAACGCGCGGUGAAUACGUCCCCGCUCCUUGCACACACCGCCCGU